rnacentral:rRNA from 1 species
GGUGUAACCUCUUUCAGUAGGGAAGAAGCGAAAGUGACGGUACCUGCAGAAGAAGCGCCGGGCUAACUACGUGCCAGCAGCCGCGGUAAUACGUAGGGCGCAAGCGUUAUCCGGGAAUUAUUGGGCGUAAAGAGCUCGUAGGCGGUUUGUCGCGUCUGCCGUGAAAGUCCGGGGCUUAACUCGGGAUCUGCGGUGGGUACGGGCAGACUUGAGUGAUGUAGGGGAGACUGGAAUUCCUGGUGUAGCGGUGAAAUGCGCAGAUAUCAGGAGGAACACCGAUGGCGAAGGCAGGUCUCUGGGCAUUAACUGACGCUGAGGAGCGAAAGCAUGGGGAGCGAACAGGAUUAGAUACCCUGGUAGUCCAUGCCGUAAACGUUGGGCACUAGGUGUGGGGGACAUUCCACGUUUUCCGCGCCGUAGCUAACGCAUUAAGUGCCCCGCCUGGGGAGUACGGCCGCAAGGCUAAAACUCAAAGGAAUUGACGGGGGCCCGCACAAGCGGCGGAGCAUGCGGAUUAAUUCGAUGCAACGCGAAGAACCUUACCAAGGCUUGACAUGAACCGGAACGGCGCAGAGAUGUGUCGGCCACUUGUGGCCGGUUUACAGGUGGUGCAUGGUUGUCGUCAGCUCGUGUCGUGAGAUGUUGGGUUAAGUCCCGCAACGAGCGCAACCCUCGUUCCAUGUUGCCAGCGGGUUAUGCCGGGGACUCAUGGGAGACUGCCGGGGUCAACUCGGAGGAAGGUGGGGACGACGUCAAAUCAUCAUGCCCCUUAUGUCUUGGGCUUCACGCAUGCUACAAUGGCCGGUACAAAGGGUUGCGAUGCUGUGAGGUGGAGCUAAUCCCAAAAAGCCGGUCUCAGUUCGGAUUGAGGUCUGCAACUCGACCUCAUGAAGUCGGAGUCGCUAGUAAUCGCAGAUCAGCAACGCUGCGGUGAAUACGUUCCCGGGCCUUGUACACACCGCCCGUCAAGUCACGAAAGUUGGUAACACCCGAAGCCGGUGGCCUAACCCCUUGUGGGAGGAGCCGUCGAA